GGCCCGCACAAGCAGCGGAGCAUGUGGUUCAAUUCUACGCAACGCGAAGAACCUUACCUAGGCUUGACAUGCACUGGAAUGUCGUAGAAAUACGGCAGCCCUUCGGGGCCGGUGCACAGGUGGUGCACGGCUGUCGUCAGCUCGUGUCGUGGGAUGUUGGGUUAAGUCCCGCAACGAGCGCAACCCCUGUCCUAUGUUGCCAGCGUGUAAUGACGGGGACUCAUAGGAGACUGCCGGUGACAAAUCGGAGGAAGGUGGGGAUGAUGUCAAGUCCUCAUGCCCCUUAUGCCUAGGGCUACACACGUGCUACAUUGGCCGGUACAAAGGGCUGCAAACCCGCGAGGGGGAGCGAAUCCCAAAAAACCGGUCCCGGUUCGGAUUGGAGGCUGAAACUCGCCUCCAUGAAGGCGGAGUUGCCAGUAAUCGCGGAUCAGCAAUGCCGCGGUGAAUACGUUCCCGGGCCUUGUACACACCGCCCGUCACACCACGGAAGCCGGUAACACCCGAAGUCGGUGUCCUAACCCGCAAGGGAGGGAGCCGCCGAAGGUGGGAUUGGUGACUGGGGUGAAGUCGUAACAAGGUAACCGUAAGGGC
rnacentral:rRNA from 1 species